GACAGCAGUGGCAGCACGGAGGUCUGGAGGUCUGGCUGGCCAGUGAGCGAAGCGAGGGGAGCAGCAGUGCUGGGGGCCGAGGGGAGGACGGUGUUGAGGCCCGGCUGCUGGACUGCAGGGCGUGAGCAGCUGAAUAAAGACCUGGUCAGAGAAGCGGGCAAGUGAGAGCUUUGUGACACAAGGUGGAGAGCAAAACAGAGGCUGCGUCCUGCAGGGCCAGGGCAGGGUGAGGCUUUGGAUUACUCCUUUUGUUCUGAAUUUAUUCUUCCACUUUCGUCCCGGCCCUUCGGUCUCCAAGGCCACCUCUGCCUUCACGCAGUCCUUCAGGAGGAUUUGCAGCCUGCUCCGCAGCUCCCUGGGGUGGGCGGCAGAGCCUCCUUCUCGGGGCUGAGCUGAGCCCACUUUCCUUUUCUGGGGCAGCUUCUGGAGGAGGCUGGGCCCAGGCCCAAAGCGCUGCCUCUGCAGCGUGAAGGGAGGAGGCGGCUUGUGGGAUGGACCUCCAUGCCGCUGGCUGGCGUCUCCACCCUCAAUCCCAGGGAGCCAAGACCGUGAGUGGCUGCCAGGGACCCUGGCACCAGUGCUUCUGUGCUCCGAGGGGAACUCUUGCAGGCAGCAGUGUCCUCCCAAGCCCAGGUUAGAGCCAGCAGCAGCAGGAAGCAACUUUCAUAGAAAAAGUCAGAAGUGGAAACCCUGGGUGGCCAGGAGACCUGCCUCAGGUGUGGUGCCAGGUAACAAUUCCUGCCCCGGGGUGAAGGUGGGGACACCACCCGAGGCCUGGCUGGGACUUCCCAGACAGCAGCUGGCAGCGGCCACACCCUGCCCUUGGGAGUGCUCCAAUCGUCCACAGCUUUUGCUGUUGCACAGGCCGCGAGGCAGCUGGACAGCACAAGCCACCUAGCAGGUGCCAAGGACACUUUCCUGUAGCUCUCUCCUGAAAAUCUGUUAUUUUUCUUCAACACCUAAUUAACUUCCCGGAGACCCGUCCUGAGGGACUGGACUUGUCAUGAGAAAUCACAGCACAAGGCUUUGCAGAGCCGGCUGCCAUGGAGGCGCGUUCGGAGGCACUAUUUCCUAGUCGGAUAUUUGCAUAGCCGGCCUGACUCCAGCAGAAAUCUGCCAGCUGCGGGUGACCCUGACUUUGAGAGCACCUGCAAAAGAAGAAUUCAGAGUGGAAAGUCAUCGUUCCGAGUUGGCAGGCUUUCACGAAAGUCCCUGCAGUCUCCGAGUGUAUAGCUGCCAUGGGUCACGUAAAAGGCUUGUAGCUCUAAUAUACGGUUUCAUUUGCUUGAAUAUGAGUGUGGGUGCACAGCAUCAAAAAAUGGCUUGAGGUGGAGAAUUUCAUAUGGGAUCCCAGCUGGGGCUGCCAGCCGUAUAUGUGCUAAUGCUGCAGUUUCAACUUUGGACUUAAGGUCAAGAUUAAUUUAGUGAAAAAUAUUAUUUUGCAAUGUAGCAGACACCUUCUGAUUCACAAGCAGGGAGAGUUCAGCAGGCUCGCUUGAAGUGUGCCACACUGGGCCAGCCUUCCACAUGCCAAUCUACCAGGUAAGGCCACCUAAAGACAAGUGGAAAACUGAAAUAUUACACAGUGAUUUGAUUAUAAGAAGCUAAACUUCAGGCCCAUCUCUGGGGCGGUGGGUGAGAGGAAGGAAGAGAUAUUUCACAAGAAUGUUCCAGAACCUGAAUUUGCACUUGUUGACCAGAACAAAAAAGCUGGUAAGUGAGUGGACUGCUAAUUACACUGCACCUCCAUCAAUGUCAUCAGCUAAUACCCAGAGAUGAAGAUACUGGCCCUAAGAUCAAAUAUACAAUGCCUGAUAGCAUAACCUGCCUGAUAAGGGUUAACAAAAUUAGUAGGAUAAAUGAGGAGAGAGACUGCAGCAAAUGUCUUUGAUUUUGUAGGUGAAUCAUAAAAAUAAAACGUCUGGGGCCAUUUCAUCUUAAUCACGUCAGAAACCCAGCUAACCCCUCAGCUCACGGUUGAUCUCUUUGAACGAUCCAGAAAGAAAUGUGUGCUUGGACAUAUGGAAGCAUAUUUGACUGAAAUCCAGUGAUAAAAGACUUUUUUUUUAAAGGGAAUUCAGGGUAAUGAUUGGUGGUGUGGCCUAAGUCUUGUUUUUUUAAAUCAGAUUUUCCAGCUGUAGAACAAUGACCCCUUUCAUUUAGUUAUUGCAGUCCCAGAUGGGUUCCACAGAGCAACAAACGACAUUGGAUAUGAAUUUAGGAGCUUGAGCCAAAGCUCCACCAUUCACACCAACUCCGCAAUGCAGAAUCAUUUCUGCAAACCCCACGUUUGUCUGUUCUUCCCUGGGUUUCCUCACCUGUACCCCUGACAUCAAUGUACCUCCAGCCCAUGUCUCCGGUCUACACAUCCCCAAGGGGCUGCUCACACUCGGUAUCUCACUGCCACUCACCCCAAAAGCCUGACCUGCUUCUGUUAAGUAGCUCCCCAGGCAGGUCAUCGACUUAGGCCAUCUGAAACUGUAGCUGUCCUUACCAAGAUACCUCUCCUUGUUUGCAGAGAUCUCUGCACUUCCAGUGCCUUUAUCUUCCAGGGUAUUUUCUCCACCUGUCCCCUAAUUCCUAAGCACCCUUUCACCUGCUGUCCUGGUCUCCCACACCACCUCCCCGCCUCCGCCAUCUCUUCCGCAACUGCCCACCCGCCCCUCUCUGAUCGAGGCGCCAUAUUGUCAUUGAAACACCUUCUCCAUGUGUAUGUCUGAUUGUAUCACGCCUCCCUACCACUUUUGAGUGGGGCUCAGUCUCUUUUGGAUAUAGCCUGGGUUCUUGAAGCCAGCCUCCCAUGCCCUGUCGGCUCAGGUCCCUUUCUGUGCCUCUUCCAAUUUCUUGUACUUGGGCCACCCCUUUGCCCAGCACACCCACCAAUUCUUGGCACUUACUACUCCUUGUGGGUUGCUUGUUCUCACUCAGCCUUCUCCAUUGAGCCGAGGGACACACCUGUCUCAGUCACGCCUUCCCUGACCCUCAGCCUGGCCAGGUGUCCAGCUGAACCCUCUCAGGGAGCAGAAAAGCUCUUUCGGUACUAAUGCUCAGCCAAGUUUGAUUAUACAUUUAUUGAUGCCAUUAGUCUACUCCCCGUAUGCCCCCAGUAGUCCUGCCCUGGUCGUGUGACCAUGGCCAGUGUGUUUUUGCCACCAGGAACGCUCAGCCACAUGCAUGGUGCCUGGCACAACAUGGGUGCACAAUGUGUACUGGUGAGUGAGUGAAUCCCCUGAGUCGCCCACAGAAGGCACCUUUGAUGGCCCCUAAACUCAUCAGAAAGACCCAAAAUAGGCUACUCAGGGCAGGGAUGGGAGUGAAGAAAUAGUAUCCGGUGCCACAAAGGUUGUAAUGGAAGAAAAUGCCCUGAAUCCUCUAAGGCACAUACAGAAGAAGGACAGGAUCUGAGAUGACCAGCUCGCCCGUUUAGCGGUUAGAUCAGCUAGUCCAGUGUUUCCUCUGCUGUGGGAUUCUGAGGAAUGUGACGUGACUGUAGAUGGGCUUAGCCCUCCUGUGCACACUCCAUCUUGAACAUGCAUCAGUCUUCAUGGAUGCAAAUCUUGACUCCUAAAGCUGUCACUGAACCGAAUGCUGAAAUCUCAAGGACGUCAUGGCAAUGACAGUGUGCAUGCUGGCAGCUGAGACUUCUGGUGUGCGCACUUACAAUGCCGCCUCUGCUCAGGAGACAGUUAUUGGGCUGAUAAUUUGUUAAAACCCUGUAGAUGCAAAUUGCAGAACAGAAUGAGGGGCCGCUGAAUGAUAACCUGCUCUAAGCAGAGCCUGAGGAAUACACUGACUUGCUCUGGGCAAUUUAGAACUAAUCCUGAGCAAAUAAUGAACUAGGUCUCAGCUAGGCCUGCAGAGACUGAUGCAUCCUCUGAGCCACGGAGACCUCUGAGGAUAAUAUCGCUUCAUGAAUGGGGAAAGCGUUGAUUUCUACUCCGGGGUCAUGUCAUGGACCCCUCAGACAGGUAAACUGAAUCCUGGUGUCCUAGAUUAAACAAGAGUCAGGACCACAGUGAAAAGAGGAGGAGCAGAUACGUCUGUGUGUGCAUGUGUGUGUGGGUAUAUGUAUACAUGUGUAUGCACACACAAAUGUGCGUGUAUGUGAGUGUGCAUGUUCACAUGUAUGCACUCAUACUCCUGAAGUGCAGGUAAAUGUGUAUAUGUGCAUAUGUGGUAGACAUAUGUGUGUGCAUGUAUGUGUGUAGUACGCAUGUCCCCAUGCACAUGCAGUGUAUAUGUCUAUGUAUAUGUGUUAGUCAGGGAACUUUUGCAAAUAUAUUUUAAGUUUUCCUUCUGGGCUCAUAACUGCCCUGGGCGGUGAUAGGAGGUAAGCACGCAGCACAAAAUAGAAUAAUCAAGAGUGUAAGUUAGCCAUGUUGAAAAAACAGAAGCAGGGAUUCUUUAGGUACACCUAAGAGGGAGUAAAUAAAGGUCUUGAAACAUUAAUAAUUGUUGCCUGUUAAAAAUAAGAGGGAACAGAGAGAUAAAACGCUGCCAACACAGGUCCAAAAUCGUCCUCUCAGCUCUCUUAGUGCUGGCGGGUGUACAUCAUCCCCCAAGCAGUGUGUCUGCUCAAAGAAAUGUGCUCAUCUUGAUUUUUACAAAGAGAACAUCUUAUGUACAAGUGGACAUUUCUCCCCCUGGAACUGGACAAAGUGACCUAGCUAAAGAAGGGAAUUUACAGCCAAUCCACUAACAUGUUUAAAUACGAAGAAAAACUGCCCUCUCAUUGUGGUUCAUCAUGCUGUGACUGUACCAUCAAGGCAAAAUUUAAUCCAGCUGGGCAAACCUGGACUAUUUUGACUUCAAUUAUAAGGUCAGGAAAGUAGAACGUGUUAGACGGAGUUCUUUCUCCUAUAAAUUCCCCAGGGUGCCUGUUCUGAGAAUUUAAAGACCGUACUCAUGCUUACUUCCUUGGUUCCUGUUUGCCUAUACUACAUUCUCAGAGAGAAAUGUCUUUGAAAUAAAUCUGAAACAAUAACGCCCAAACCGAGCUAGUAACCAGAAUCACCUGGGGAGCCUACAGUACACAAACUCCCGGAUUCCAUGCCAUCCCCACGCUGAGCCUCAGGAAGAAAAGCUCCUGGGGGAUUCUGCUGUGGUCAGCUGCUGGGCAGCAGUUGGAAUAAGCCUCCAGCUUCUAACCACAGGUUCCCGUUAGCACGUUAGAGAAGGAAAAUUAACCUUUGGCAGAGACUAAAUAUUACCUCCAAGUCCAAUUCAAGCUCUUCUAGGUCACUGGAGAAUUUUAAGGUUUUCACUUGGGAGCGAUUCUGGUCCAAAGUGUAACUGGCAUUUAAGGCUUCUGUUUUCCUGGAGUAUUUCUGGACAGCUAUGCCUCUGCAGGUUCCUUCUCCUCUAACCAUUCUGCUGUGCCUUCCAAAUCCGGAGCAUCCCUCUAGCCAAAGAUUACCUCUUCCAUGAAAACAGCAAUGACUGCAUUAGCUGCUCCUCCCUCCGAGAAUCCCCUGGGCUAGUCAGAGGCAUAUAAUUUAACACUUAAUUGUUUUCUAAUUGCUUCCGAUCUGUUCUGUUCCCUCACCCUAUUAUAAGCAGCUCAAGGGUGGAGACCACGGCUCCCUCACCAUGGCUUUAAUAAGGCUCCUCGCCUGCUUGGCUUCCCAUUGUGGCCCCAGAGAUCCAGGCUGGCAUGAAAUUGGCUCUCCAUGAAUAUUUGUUGAAUUAAUGAAUUUGUUGACAGAAUGAUCAUCAGAACAUAUAGUCAAGAAGCUCAUGCCUGGACAACAAAUGACCUCUCGACUUGUUUUCUGCUAUUUAACUUAACCAACAUUUAAUAGAGAGCUGGGACGUUACUGCCUUAGGUGCUGGGGACACUGCGGUGAAUGACCUUGAUUGAUGCACUGUGAAUGUUCAAGAAAGGGGAAAUCAAAAACUUUGGAAAUGGAAUUGUUCUUGCAGGCUUUGGAAGACUAUGAAAAACAGGACAGAGGUCAUUUUAAUGACAAUCGCAUCUCACAGAAACAUAAGGUGGCAAUCCACUGCCUUUGACUGGGUUUUGCAAUAUUUUAGUAAAAAAUGGUACGGUGGCUGAUGCAGCCACAAUAAGGGCUGCCUCUCCUCCUUCUAGAACCUUCUGCAGCACAUUUUCAGGUGACAGAGCCCUUUAUUAACUUUAGUAUUGCUUAUGUUUUGUUAAAACUUUAGCCCCUGGGUAGCAUGAGCCGGAGGGGACCAGGUCAUCUUGCCCGUGACUCCUUGGUCUCCUUUGAAGUCUGUUCCUCUGUGACAGACUUCUAGACCCCAACCCCCACAAAGGAUCAGAAGCCACCAGAGACUCGAUGACUUGGUCUAAAGGAAAAGCAGUAUUGGUUUUGUAGACUCAAAUUUUCUUCUUCUAUUCACCAUGACUUCAGCUUUCAAAACGUGGUGGGGCUGUCUGUUCCUCCUGCUUCUCCUCUGACUGUCAAGCCCUUCAUGCUCUCCCAGAAACUGGUCAGUAUCUCAGGCUCACUUAGCACCAUCCUGGCAGCACACAGCAUCAAGUUCUCUGGCCUGUGAUAAUUACUGAGUGAACUGACUUGCAGGGAGAAGCAACCUGCAGAGAUUUCCACUGCCAAGUAAUUAGGGCCGGUGAAGCUCCACAGACCAUUAGCGCUGUGUUGGGAAACAGGAUUUUACAAACAUCGUGGCAGGCACUUGAUACGAAGUUCUGUGGCUUUUUAAAGAGAAAUGAGAGAGAAAGGGACUGAGACAUGAAAGAGAAGGCAGAGGGGUGGAAAUUAAUGCAAAGAGAUGUGGAGAGAUGGUAGAGAAAAUCAACAAUGUCUUAAGUCUGGGUGACUUUCUGUUCACUGAAGAAAAAAUCAGUGUAUUCAAAUUACUUGUUUUCACUCUGUAGCUGUCCCUGAACAAGAGGUUGACUGUCACAUGAGAGGGCAAGUUUUGCUAGGGAAGUCAUGACACAAAUGAUACUGGUAAUUCUAUUGGUAAUUCUAUUGCGAGCCAGCUGCCCUCACGCCAUUCUAGAGUCCCUGAUAAGUGACUUUAUAUAAUGAACCCUCAGGUUCUUCAUCUAAGUCAUCUUCAGGGGUCCAAGUCAUUCUUCCCACCAAAGGUACCUUGGUGAAGUUUCAAAAUUAUUUUGAUGAAUUAAUGAAAUGCACUGUUUCAACAAAUGUUCUGUGACAGAGGCAGACGCAGGAAAAUGACUUAUCAUGCUUCAAGUAGAUUUGAACAUACUCUACUGAUUUUCUGAUUUCCUUGAAUAGAGGAGCCACUGCUUUGUAUCAAGGCCAAAGUCAGAACUGUCUCUCAAUAAAGUCCAGUGUGGGCUUCCACUCACCAGCACAGCCUGGAUUUCCUGAGAGGAUGCCCUUAAUUACUUUUAAUAAGAAUAAUAAUCAUUGAGACUAUAUAUACAUGGGAUUUCAUUUUUAUGCUUUUUAAAGAUCUGACAAUGAAACAAUCAGAAAGUAAACUGAUGGAGUCUUCGCUGAGACUUUUGUUUGUGAAACUGGUCAUUUUAAGAGACCCUGACAUCUUGGGAUACAUCGAUCAUUGAUCAUCGAUCUAUCUAGCUGUCUUCUAUUUAUCCGUCUAUACUUCUGUCAUCUAUCUAUCAUCCUUAUUGUCUUCUAUGAUCUCUGUAUUUCUUAUCUUCUUUCUCUGCAGGGAAUAUGUUCCAAGAUGUUCUGUGGAUGCCAGAAACUGCAGAUAAUACUGUGCCCUACACUAUGAUGAUUUUUCCUAUUUAAAACUGUGAUAAACUUUCCUUUAUAAACUGGGUGCAGUGAGAGUUUCACAAUAUGUAAUAAUAAAACAGAACAGUAUAAAGUUAUUUAAAACU